ensembl:lncRNA
CUCCUCUCUCGGACUUAGCCACGCCCUUCAUUAGUUCCUGAGGGGAUUUUUCAGAACAGAGGUUAUGGCAGUUUCACCAUCCAAUUCCAUUUUUAUCAGGUGUGCUUCCUGGCCAAAGAAGUCAGAUGAGUGCAUGAGCAGCCCCUUUGAGGACAAGGCUUGGAUUCCCAGGAGCAGACAAGGAACUCUGUGGGCAUACUCCAAGGAAACUGGGCAGCAGAACUCAUGACUACAACCAGUUCCAUGGUUACACUGGAAGUUGCAAAUCAAGGCAUCCUCUCUCACUGCCUGUCCACCUAUCUUACCCAGCCAUUGUCCUCCAUGGUGCAGAGAGCCUCUUACCCCUUCCAAGGAAGAGCUUCAGGAAGUUUUACCUACUUGAGCUCCACUGAGUAGAGGCUGGCAAGUGUCUCUAGUGUGACAGUGAUAUGUGGAUCCAGAGGUCCUCAGUGGAAUCUAGCACAUGCAGCCAGGAGCACCUGAACUCUUCCUCCAAGUCAGUUGCCCCUGCUUCCACUCUGACCAAGAGUGGUCCUGGCCAUUGGGAAACCCCAGCAGAGGUGCUGCCCACCCCUGUGACUGUCUCCCAGCCCAUAUGAACAGACCUCCCUCCACCACCUCCUCUACCACAGGUCCACUACACCAGAUAUUGGUGGCAAUUCAGUGGAUUUGCCACUCCCCCCUCCUUCUGCAAACAAGGCAGCAUCCCAGUCUGCACAGGUGGCUGGGAAAAAAGAGUGAGGAGCAGCAGUGGUGGUCUG